AGGAAUAUUGGUCAAUGGACGAGAGUCUGAACCAGCCAAGUAGCGUGAAGGAUGAAGGUCCUACGGAUUGUAAACUUCUUUUAUAAGGGAAUAAACCCUCCCACGUGUGGGAGCUUGUAUGUACCGUAUGAAUAAGCAUCGGCUAACUCCGUGCCAGCAGCCGCGGUAAUACGGAGGAUGCGAGCGUUAUCCGGAUUUAUUGGGUUUAAAGGGAGCGCAGACGGGAGAUUAAGUCAGUUGUGAAAGUUUGCGGCUCAACCGUAAAAUUGCAGUUGAUACUGGUUUCCUUGAGUGCAGUUGAGGCAGGCGGAAUUCGUGGUGUAGCGGUGAAAUGCUUAGAUAUCACGAAGAACCCCGAUUGCGAAGGCAGCUUGCUAAACUGUAACUGACGUUCAUGCUCGAAAGUGUGGGUAUCAAACAGGAUUAGAUACCCUGGUAGUCCACACGGUAAACGAUGGAUACUCGCUGUUGGCGAUAUACUGUCAGCGGCCAAGCGAAAGCAUUAAGUAUCCCACCUGGGGAGUACGCCGGCAACGGUGAAACUCAAAGGAAUUGACGGGGGCCCGCACAAGCGGAGGAACAUGUGGUUUAAUUCGAUGAUACGCGAGGAACCUUACCCGGGCUUAAAUUGCAGACGAAUUACGAGGAAACUUGUAAGCCGCAAGGCGUCUGUGAAGGUGCUGCAUGGUUGUCGUCAGCUCGUGCCGUGAGGUGUCGGCUUAAGUGCCAUAACGAGCGCAACCCUCGUGGUCAGUUACUAACAGGUUAAGCUGAGGACUCUGGCCAGACUGCCAUCGUAAGAUGUGAGGAAGGUGGGGAUGACGUCAAAUCAGCACGGCCCUUACGUCCGGGGCUACACACGUGUUACAAUGGGAGGUACAGAAGGCAGCUACCCGGCAACGGGAUGCCAAUCCCCAAAACCUCUCUCAGUUCGGACUGGAGUCUGCAACCCGACUCCACGAAGCUGGAUUCGCUAGUAAUCGCGCAUCAGCCACGGCGCGGUGAAUACGUUCCCG
rnacentral:rRNA from 1 species